UAGGAUGACAGGUGUCACCUAGUAUUGGAAUGUAGAGACGGAAAAAGUCUUUUCCCGCGAAUUUCUACCGCCAGAAGUUGCAAUGUCCAACCAUCUUCGGAGCCCUUAGUCCGCAACGCCGAGUGUUCGCUGUUCAGGCUCUUUUUUGUGGAUCAUAGUUCUUAGUACAAGGUUGAUCAGGUUCUUUGAACUCACUGGAGUUUUAUUUUGGAUCAGAAACCGUUCAGACGAUAAGAUAUUCUUGAUGGUGUGUAUUGUGCUUCUCUGAGAAAAGUCAUAACUACACGGAGCACUAGCAGGUUCAUGGUUUCAACUAUUGAAGGUAUUUAUUCUGAUCCCUGAAUCACUGUAUGCUGGGACCAUGGAAGGGAUCUUGAAGAUUGGGACGAUGAUUAUGCACGUCCUGCCACAGUUCAAACUGGUUAAAUCCCAUAUUUUCAUCAGUUUCCAUACAAUUUUUUUUCGUAGUUGGCUGUCUUAAGGGUUCUUUCUUUUUAUUGAUGUUGAUCGAAUAAGUAGCCUCAGAAAAUUGAAAGUAUGUAAUCGUGUAGCAUUGUGAGAAAGAUAUUGAAUUGGAAGCUCAGUUAUAAAUAUAAGUACAUUUUCCUCAACUUUGGAAGUUAGAAAUGAUCAUCCUGUAACAUCCCUUUCUGGAUGUGGAUUUUGGAGUCAACCCUCAGGUCCUCACGAUUCUCGAGGUGGGUGGUUGGCGUAUAUUGUAUCUAACAUUUUAGAAAAAUCCUUACAUUAUGAGAUGUUAGCCAUUGUGCAAUUCCCUUGCGUGGGCUUUAUAAGGGGAUUAAUCUCA